rnacentral:rRNA from 1 species
UACGGGGGGGGCAAGCGUUGUUCGGAUUUACUGGGCGUAAAGGGCGCGUAGGCGGCAAAUUAAGUCAGCUGUGAAAUCUCCGAGCUUAACUCGGAACGGUCAGCUGAUACUGAUCUGCUAGAGUGCGGAAGGGGCAAUCGGAAUUCUUGGUGUAGCGGUGAAAUGCGUAGAUAUCAAGAGGAACACCUGAGGUGAAGACGGGUUGCUGGGCCGACACUGACGCUGAGUGCGCGAAAGCCAGGGGAGCAAACGGG